UCUGCAGCAGUUGUGAUGCAUAGUUCACCCGCAAGUCUCUAAUUGUUUGAGACUCCCUGAAGACAUAUACUCAGUGAUGAAGAUCACCUGGAGCAAGAAGGGGAAACAAACAGUCUCAGCUGAAGCGCUCGAUGAAAUUCAGCAGAACAGAAAACUGCUUUUUAGAAACACACAGAAGGGUGCAUUUAAGUGAAGACAUCUGACACUACUGUGUAAUGAUGACAUCAUCAAGCGCCGUCAUUGGAAAAUACAACCUUCUUCAGUGCUUGCAGUGGACGUCGAUGAAGAGGAUUAGAAACAGUUUUGGAAAGGGUCGCGGUGAGCUGGAGCUUAACCCAGCAGAAACAGGGCGCAAGGCAGGACUACACCCUGGACAGGAUGCCAGUCCAUCAUAGGGCACCACACACACAGGGUAAUUU